GAUGAACGCUGGCGGCGUGCUUAACACAUGCAAGUCGAACGGAAAGGCCCAAGCUUGCUUGGGUACUCGAGUGGCGAGCGGGUGAGUAACACGUGGGUGAUCUGCCCUGCACUUCGGGAUAAGCCUGGGAAACUGGGUCUAAUACCGGAUAGGACGAUGGUUUGGAUGCCAUUGUGGAAAGUUUUUUCGGUGUGGGAUGAGCUCGCGGCCUAUCAGCUUGUUGGUGGGGUAAUGGCCUACCAAGGCGUCGACGGGUAGCCGGCCUGAGAGGGUGUACGGCCACAUUGGGACUGAGAUACGGCCCAGACUCCUACGGGAGGCAGCAGUGGGGAAUAUUGCACAAUGGGCGCAAGCCUGAUGCAGCGACGCCGCGUGGGGGAUGACGGCCUUCGGGUUGUAAACUCCUUUCGCUAGGGACGAAGCGUUUUUGUGACGGUACCUGGAGAAGAAGCACCGGCUAACUACGUG
rnacentral:rRNA from 1 species